rnacentral:tRNA from 1 species
GGCUGUGUAGCUCAGUUGGCAGAGCAUUCGGUUCAUACCCGGAAGGUCGCCGGUUCAAACCCGGCCGCAGCUACCA